CGGCGGACGGGUGAGUAACACGUGGAUAACCUACCUAUAAGACUGGGAUAACUUCGGGAAACCGGAGCUAAUACCGGAUAAUAUAUUGAACCGCAUUGUUCAAUAGUGAAAGACGGUUUUGCUGUCACUUAUAGAUGGAUCCGCGCCGCAUUAGCUAGUUGGUAAGGUAACGGCUUACCAAGGCAACGAUGCGUAGCCGACCUGAGAGGGUGAUCGGCCACACUGGAACUGAGACACGGUCCAGACUCCUACGGGAGGCAGCAGGC
rnacentral:rRNA from 1 species